rnacentral:lncRNA from 1 species
UAGAUGUUUCAGUGAAUUUACAAUGCUGAGUGCACUUGAAACCUAAAAUCAGAGAGAAUGGCACUGCUGCUCUAAUAAGACCUGGGGAAAUCAGAAACCUGGUUGUCUCCUAUGAGCACUGCUUUCCAGAAAACUCUCUCAACCAGUAGACUUCAUUCCGUUUAUGCCUAAAGAGAAAAUACGUUGAGCAAACCAAGGAAGGCUCUGGCAUAAACUAGAGCUGGUGACAUGGGACAUCAAACUAAGCUGUGAUUACUUCAUCAGAGAUUACCUUUCUAGAGGAUUCUGAAAAGGAUACUGAUGUUUAUUUUUGGAAUAGGCUUUCUUCUGAGAGAAGAGUUGCUUGAAAUCAUGCAGAUGUAUUUUAAGAAUGUACUCAAGAGAGGCACCCAAGAAGACAUUUUUGUAUGGAGAUGGGCAGAAAAUGAAGUGAGACUUGAACUUGGAGAGAAAACAAUGUCCUUUUCUUUUGAAGAGGAUCAGGAAGCUGAAAGAAGGAUUCCUGACAGUCAGGCUAAGCUGGACACCUCUAUGGAAACCUGCCAGGAGCUCUUCAAGAAUAAUGAAGUAGAGCCUAGAACCAUGGACUUUAAGAAUAGAUAAUAGCAGUUAUAAACUACUUUUUCUUUCUAUUUCCAUGUUCUCUAAGUUUUCCAAAUCUUAAAUCUUAUUAGAAGGUGCAGUCCUAUCUCUUUUGUGUUAUGGAAGAUAAGAGAACAUAAUGUCUCCUUCCAUCCAUUAAAGGUCAUUGAGGAGCAUUAAGAUGAUUACUUUUGGCUCCAAAUCCCAACUUCGUGUCUAUAUCACAAAGUUUGGCAGCAUGGAAGGCAGUAUCAGAGGGGAAAAAACUUGAGUUUAAUUUUUUUUUUUUUCUGGAAAAAACUGAGGCAGUUCCCAAGAAGUUAACAGAAAUAGCUGGGAAGCCAGUUUCUGAAAUUCAGGCGGCUCGGGACCUUGACAAAAUAAUUUGAUGGAAAACAGAUACACAAAGUCAUUCUAUAGACAUAGGAUAGUGAAGUUCAAGGACAAACAGCAUUAUUACACAGAAUCUAUUGUCUGAAGACAAUAGAUUUUUUUUUGGAAUUUUUUUGUAAUUCUGAAGCAUCCACUCUGUUAACUGUUCUUUUAGCUUCUUUGGCAUAGGGGAUGAACUAGAAAUCUUCCCUUGGCUUAG